rnacentral:rRNA from 1 species
UACAGAGGCCCCAAGCGUUACUGAGAAUCACUGGGUUUAAAGGGUGCGUAGGUGGCGCGUUAAGUCCGUUGUGAAAUCCCUGGGCUCAACCCAGGAAUUGCUUCGGAUACUGGCGUGCUUGAGGCUAGUAGGGGUCACUGGAACUGACGGUGGAGCGGUGAAAUGCGUAGAUAUGACAUAGAACACCAAUUGCGAAGGCAGCUCGCUACACGAAUAUUGACUCUGAGGCACGAAAGCGUGGGGAUCAAACAGG